rnacentral:rRNA from 1 species
GACGAACGCUGGCGGCGUGCUUAACACAUGCAAGUCGAACGGUAAGGCUCCAGCUUGCUGGGGUACACGAGUGGCGAACGGGUGAGUAACACGUGGGUGACCUGCCCUGCACUUCGGGAUAAGCCUGGGAAACUGGGUCUAAUACCGGAUAGGACCAUGGUGUGGAUACUGUGGUGGAAAGUUUUUUCGGUGUGGGAUGGGCCCGCGGCCUAUCAGCUUGUUGGUGGGGUAAUGGCCUACCAAGGCGGCGACGGGUAGCCGGCCUGAGAGGGUGGACGGCCACAUUGGGACUGAGACACGGCCCAGACUCCUACGGGAGGCAGCAGUGGGGAAUAUUGCACAAUGGGCGGAAGCCUGAUGCAGCGACGCCGCGUGGGGGAUGACGGCCCUCGGGUUGUAAACUCCUUUCACCAUCGACGAAGGGUUUCUGACGGUAGAUGGAGAAGAAGCACCGGCUAACUACGUG